AGAGUUUGAUCCUGGCUCAGGAUGAACGCUAGCGACAGGCUUAACACAUGCAAGUCGAGGGGCAGCAUGAUUUGUAGCAAUACAGAUUGAUGGCGACCGGCGCACGGGUGAGUAACGCGUAUGCAACUUACCUAUCAGGAGGGGGAUAGCCCGGACGAAAGUCGGAUUAAUACCCCAUAAAACAGGGGUCCCGCAUGGGAAUAUUUGUUAAAGAUUCAUCGCUGAUAGAGUAGGCAUGCGUUCCAUUAGGCAGUUGGCGGGGUAACGGCCCACCAAACCGACGAUGGAUAGGGGUUCUGAGAGGAAGGUCCCCCACAUUGGUACUGAGACACGGACCAAACUCCUACGGGAGGCAGCA
rnacentral:rRNA from 1 species